CAACUACUCCCUCUGUCCCAAAUUUCUUGUCUUAGAUUUGUCUAGAUACGGAUGUAUCUAAUACUAAAAUGUGACUUGAUACAUUCAUAUCUAGACAAAUCUAAGGCAAGAAUUUUGGGACGGAGGGAGUAUNNN
rnacentral:pre_miRNA from 1 species